GCGCGGUUAGCUCAGCGGUAGAGCACUACCUUGACACGGUAGGGGCCACAGGUUCGAUCCCUGUACCGCGCA
rnacentral:tRNA from 1 species